CUUUUGAAUGUAUAAAAUAUGAUUUUCAUGAAUCGAUGACACAUAUUAUUGGCUUAACUAAUAUUACCUAUUAUAAAUGUCAUGGAAACUAAUCAACAACG